UGGAAGUAAAAGUCGUAACAAGGUUUCCGUAGGUGAACCUGCGGAAGGAUCAUUACCGAGUGAGGGCCCUCUGGGUCCAACCUCCCACCCGUGUUUAUUUUACCUUGUUGCUUCGGCGGGCCCGCCUUCACUGGCCGCCGGGGGGCUCACGCCCCCGGGCCCGCGCCCGCCGAAGACACCCUCGAACUCUGUCUGAAGAUUGAAGUCUGAGUGAAAAUAUAAAUUAUUUAAAACUUUCAACAACGGAUCUCUUGGUUCCGGCAUCGAUGAAGAACGCAGCGAAAUGCGAUACGUAAUGUGAAUUGCAAAUUCAGUGAAUCAUCGAGUCUUUGAACGCACAUUGCGCCCCCUGGUAUUCCGGGGGGCAUGCCUGUCCGAGCGUCAUUGCUGCCCUCAAGCCCGGCUUGUGUGUUGGGCCCCGUCCUCCGAUUCCGGGGGACGGGCCCGAAAGGCAGCGGCGGCACCGCGUCCGGUCCUCGAGCGUAUGGGGCUUUGUCACCCGCUCUGUAGGCCCGGCCGGCGCUUGCCGAUCAACCCAAAUUUUUAUCCAGGUUGACCUCGGAUCAGGUAGGGAUACCCGCUGAACUUAAGCAUAUCAA
rnacentral:misc_RNA from 1 species